rnacentral:rRNA from 1 species
UAGAGUUUGAUCCUGGCUCAGAUUGAACGCUGGCGGCAGGCCUAACACAUGCAAGUCGAGCGGUAACACAAGGGAGCUUGCUCCUGAGGUGACGAGCGGCGGACGGGUGAGUAAUGCCUAGGUAUCUGCCCAGUCGAGGGGGAUAACAGUUGGAAACGACUGCUAAUACCGCAUACGCCCUACGGGGGAAAGGAGGGGACCUUCGGGCCUUCCGCGAUUGGAUGAACCUAGGUGGGAUUAGCUAGUUGGUGAGGUAAUGGCUCACCAAGGCGACGAUCCCUAGCUGGUCUGAGAGGAUGAUCAGCCACACUGGAACUGAGACUCGGUCCAGACUCCUACGGGAGGCAGCAGUGGGGAAUAUUGCACAAUGGGCGAAAGCCUGAUGCAGCCAUGCCGCGUGUAUGAAGAAGGCCUUCGGGUUGUAAAGUACUUUCAGCGAGGAGGAAAGCUCAAUUGUUAAUAGCGAUUGGGUGUGACGUUACUCGCAGAAGAAGCACCGGCUAACUUCGUGCCAGCAGCCGCGGUAAUACGAGGGGUGCAAGCGUUAAUCGGAAUUACUGGGCGUAAAGCGUACGCAGGCGGUUUGUUAAGCGAGAUGUGAAAGCCCCGGACUCAACCUGGGAACUGCAUUUCGAACUGGCAAACUAGAGUCCUGUAGAGGGGGGUAGAAUUUCA